rnacentral:rRNA from 1 species
UACGUAGGGCGCGAGCGUUAUCCGGAAUUACUGGGCGUAAAGCGCGUGUAGGCGGGCUGAUAAGUCGGACGUGAAAUCCCUGAGCUCAACUCAGGAACUGCAUUCGAAACUGUCAGUCUGGAGUAGUGGAGAGGAAAGCAGAAUUCCUGGUGUAGAGGUGAAAUUCGUAGAUAUCAGGAGGAACACCGGUGGCGAAGGCGGCUUUCUGGACACUUACGUGACGCUG